GUCCCGUGGCUUGGCAGUUGGCAGCGGCUCGGCGCGCACCCAACGGCCCACCGCGGGUUUCCGGGACGGCUAGCAGCGCGGUUCCCGGUCCCGCCCCGAACCCCCUUACCUGGCGCAGAGGCCGCUCAGUGCGGUGCGGUCAGGCCUCGUGGGCUGGGACCUAAGCCGUUGACCCUAAGGCGAUCGGGGCUCCCCGCGCGGCCCCCCCGGGGGACGGGAUUAACGCCUAAGCCCCAAGCCGGGUCGGCGGGAGGAGGGCGGCCCUCUGGGCGAGCGCGGGGCCGGGGCUGGCGGUGCGGAGCGCACGGGACUCGCCCGCUUCUCAGGGUCUGAAGGAAAUGUGCACUUUUAAUGUGUUAUUUCCUAACACAAAUGUUUGAGCAGACCAAAUAAACUCUGCAUGCUGAAUGUGGCCCCGAGGUCCCCCGUUGGUGACACGGCUUUCGGCAUUUUCUCGGCCUGAGUGUGAGAGUGAGAGGAGCCCGCGUGGCGGUCACCGGCUGGAGCGGGAGCGUGGAGUUAUCACGGCCGCCUCUGCCCGGAGCCCGCCCCUGCCCCGCGGCUGUGCCCCUUCACCCGCACGCCGACUGUUCCAAAGUCCACGUCCAGCCUGCAGCCGGGUUUUCUAUGGUGCCUGAGCUAAGAAUGCUUUUCUCGUUUUUAAGAGGUUGGGGGAGAAUUAAAACAGUAUUUUAGCAUAUAUGAAAAGUAUAUGACAUUCAAAUAUCGGCCGGGCACGGUGGCUCACGCCUGUAAUCCCUGCACUUUGGGAGGCCGAGGCGGGUGGAUCACCUGAGAUCAGGAGUUCGAGACCAGCCUGGCCAACAUGGAGAAACCCCGUCUCUACUGAAAAAAAAUAAAAAAUUAGCCAGACGUGGUGGUGGGCUCCUGUAAUCCCAGAUACUCGGGAGACUGAGGCAGAAGAAUCGCUUGAACCCGGGAGGCAGAGGUUGCAGUGAGCCGAGAUCGCGCCACUGCACUCCAGUCUGGGUGACAGAGCAAGACUCCGUCUCCAAAAAAAAAUUAAAUUAAAAUGUCGGUUUCCUAAGGAGUUCAACUGGAACACCACCAUGCUUGUUCAUGUAGUUAAAAGUCUGCAAGUGCUUGGUACAUACACAGAUGGUAUUUAUUUGCUGUUUGUCUUAAAUUGCAUUCUUAUGCAUCAUAGAGACUGCGAUAAGGAGAAGAAAAAAUAUUUUCUACAGGACCAUCCAAACAUCUAUUAUGAGAAAUACCACUGCGAUGAGUCUUCACAUACAAGUGUCAGGUGCACCAUUUGACGGUCCCACCAGCAGCAUGAGAGAGUUCCAGUGUCUCCACAUCCUCGUCAACACUCACUACCUGACUUUUUGGGUCUAGCUCUCCAGGCCAGGAAGCCGAACCAAAUCCACCUCCCUCAGGUGUGCCCGCGGGACCUGUGUGUGUGCAAGUUUCUAUCUUCCAGAAGGUUCCAGUGUCUGCCAUGGCUCUUGGCCUGCCAGGAAGUAUCCUUCUUACUACUUGUGAGGCUGAGGCUUUGUGUGCCAGAGUACAGGUGCCCGGCCAGUAUGGGUCUGAGGGUUGUGUGGGCAUUGGUUCAGCACACAAGCCACAACCCUUGUUCCUUAAAGGUGGGCGUGUUGUGGAAGCACAGGAAAGUUAUUCUCAAAUAUGACACCCAUGUAAGGCCUGGGCUCCACUAUUAAUUUGUCUGAUUAUAUCCUGGUGACAAGGAGGACAAAUUUCUACUGCAACAAUGCAAAUUACUACGUUUUUAUUAAAAGUAAAUGUCAGUAAAACUAUUUUUCCUGAAUUCUGAAGUGAGAAAAACACCAUUUAAAGAACGUUUUAAUGUUUGUGAAAGGAUAGUCUCCUAAAGUAGAUUGUUGCAGAUACCGGGUAAAAAUAAAAAUUAAAUAAAUUAAAGGUGAGAUAGAUCAAAGAAGAAGGGUUUUGUCUUAUUCCUGCCAGAAACAGAAUAUCAGAAACAACAUGAGCAUCCUCCUCCUUGCCUUUUCUUGGGCUGUGCUUUCAGCCUGCAGAUAUAACCAUUCUGGAGAGCAGUGAUGCCCCCAGAACCGCAUUUUUGGCUGGUGCAAAAUGGGGGGCAGUGGUUGUGUCUGGGGCCAAGUUUCUGUCCUGUAUAGCCUAGAGAUGGUUAUGUAGCGGGGGACUGAGCUACUAAGUGAAGGCAUAGAUAGUUAUGUAGAAACAGAGGAGGGUAGAAUCAACUCCAUGCUAGAUUGUAACUGGAGGUACAGGUAUCAGUAUGAACUCAAGGUUUGCUAAGAGGUAUCAGAAAAGAUAUGGGUGUGUGUGUGUGUGUGUGUGUGUGUGUGUGUGUGUGUGUGUGUGUGUUUGUACAUACUUAUUUCCUAGC
rnacentral:lncRNA from 1 species